UAAAAUUGUGUAAACAUAGAAGAACUGAUACCGGUUGUGUUAUCUUGCGGACCCGUCAGUGGCCAAGAACUCUCCCACCUUGAUUAAGGUUAUAUGUUCGCCCUUGAUUUUAUUCUUUGUUCAAACAUGGCUGCAGAGAGCAUGUUUGAGCUGGUCCGUCUAGCUAUGCAAAAGAAUGAUUUGUGUUAUAUACAAGAUAUAUAUUUGAAAUAUUGUAAUAAAAUAAGGAAUCUUCCUUCCUUCUCAAACGAAGAUAUAUUGAACUCAAUCAAUAACAACAACAUAUUGAGAAAUUUUUGAUGCUGAAGUUUAUCUUCCAAAGAUUUUAUGAAAAGACCUUAACAAGUGUGCAGUAGCCAUGUGCUCUGAAAGUACUGGAAAUUGCUUGUACAGUUCUGCUUCCAUCCUGCUUGUUGGUGACAAUUCGUUUGUUGAGGAUCUCAGAAUUUUAACGUCAUUGGAGUUGUUUCUGUGUUCUGAAUAUUACAGUAGGCACCCUGUUUUGUUGUCGUUAUUUGAAGAACACAAAGGUAAGGUAUUUAAAUCUGUUGAUAGCAUUUUGCGAAUGGUAACAUCUUUUGAAGCUCUUGAUGCUUCAGGUUCUUCGUGCUCUAAUAAGUUGGUAAAAAAUGAAGCCAUUGGCAACUGUAAAAAUCAAAAGUGGUGUAGCUUACUUUGCAUAUUUGCUUUGUCGUCAGUGUCAUUGGCCAACAUAAAUAUAUAUUUUCCGGAUUGUGGUGACUCAAGGGAUAAAAUUUUAUUUAAUUGUAUAAUCAGUCCAUGAAAUCCCACUCCUUCUUUAAGGACAUUGAAAUUUCUAUUUUGUUUACAAAGUUUUAAUGUUGACUCAAGUAAUCACCUUUAAGCCUAAUCAUUUUGUUCCCAUAAUUUUUGUGCCUAACGGUACAAAGCGAAAGUUACCGCACAUCACAAAAAAAAAAAAAAUGUCUUGUGUGCCUACCAAAAAAAUUUCAGUUCAGUCAAAGCUCAGUUUUUGGACUGAUAAAUGUAGUGACACUUUAAUUUUUCCAAGAGUUAUGCCAUUAAUAAAUGUUCAUAAACCUGUUGUGUCAAAUCCUUUAACCAUCACACCAAGUUUAGGCAGCAAUAGUCUCAUUUUUGAAUCCUCACAUACAAUUUGUCAUCCACCUGUCCAAUCCCAUGUUGCAACAACAAGCAUUGUCACACAACAGAUUUCACAAUCAACUGUAAUUGUAACAUGCCAGACAGUUUAUUACCUGUGAAUAGAUUUGAUGUGUCAUUGUACCGUGAAAAAAUGAGAACUUUGAAAAAUGACACUUCAGCAAUUCAAGACCUCAUUAAAAACGUUUUUAAACCAAAUAACAAUUAUGUGUUCCCAAAAACUAAAAGAUGCUUUCGUUUUGAAUGGUUAAACAAAUUUCCUUGGUUGUGUUAUUCACCAGCAGUUGAUGGUGCAUAUUGUCUUCCGUGUGUUUUAUUUGGAGAGAAAUUUCCAACCAAAACCAACAAAAUUAAAAAACUGUUUUCUGAGUCAUUUAGAUAUUGGCCAGAUGCCAAUGCUCAUUUACUAGCUUUAUAAGUAAUUAUUUUGGUAAGUCCCAACCAAUUGACAUUCUUGUUGAUUGUAACAGGAGAAAAAAAAUUGCUGAAAAUAGAAAAAAGCUUGUCCCUAUUGUUCAAGCAAUAAUCUAUUCUGGUAGGCAGGGCCAGGCAUUAAGAGGUCAUUGAGAUGACUCCCAGUAUCAUGGUGAAGUAGGGGAGUUUUCUUGUGGAAGGGUGGGGAAUUUUGUGGAAUUGUUGAAUUUUAGGGUGCAAGGUGGAGACACUAUUCUUGCUGAGCAUUUGAAAAACAGCCCUAAAAAUGCAACCUAUAUCUCCAAAACAACACAAAAUGAGUUAAUAAGUUGUUGUGGUGAAUUUAUUUUGGAUAAAUUAGUUUCUGAGAUAAAAAACAAUGUGUUUUAUUCUAUUCUUGCUGAUGAAGCCUCUGAUUCAUCUCACAAAGAGCAAAUGUCUUUAGUCCUGCGUUUUGUGGAUGAUUCAUUUAACAUUAAAGAGGAAUUCAUCCAGUUUAUCCAUUGUGAUGAAGGACUUUCUGGUAAAGACUUACAGUCUGUUUUAUGCAAGUGUUUAGAACAUUUGAAGUUGGACAUAAAAGAUUGUAGGGGUCAAGCAUAUGACGGUGCAGGUGCUGUGGCUGUCAGGAGCUUUAUGGCAACUUUUAACUACCUAUUACGUUAUUUUAUUUCGUUUUAUAUCACCUCCACGCACUUUACCCCCGGGUUUAGCUUGCUCCUGCUAAUAGUACCCGGUUUAUUGGAGCGCUAGCUGACUGUACUUGUCUGGCACACUAAAUAAUAUAUAAUGUUAUUGAAUGUUGCCUAGGCAAGCUGAUGAGCCCUGAUAUCGGGCGAAACAGUCUGAUAAUAUAUAAUUCCUACCGUUGUUUUUAUUAUCCCCUAACUUUAUACAACAAAUACAUUUUCCAAAAUUAACGCAAAAGAGUGGUUUUACACGUUAAAGAGUAAGAGGAGAUUGGAUUUUAAUUUAGCCUGUUAACGCUUUAGAAUGCCGUAAAAAGCAAAAACUUUGCUUUGCUUUUGCUACGCAAACGGCUGCGCUUUUUUGCUUCGCAAAAUUUGUGACUGACAUAAAAUAAAUUCUAUAUCCGCCCUGUUAAAUAAGUUACACUUUAUAUAGCCUAUAUAAAGCCUAUAUAAUAAAUAUAAAGCCUAUAUAAAGUGUAACUUAUUUACAGCGAAAAAACAAUAGUAAUAAAUUAUUAUCUAAAAUAUAAAAAAAUCACCAACACAAACACAUCUCAUGUAUCCAUAAACAAAAACAAUCCUUUGCUUCAUCACGGAAAAAAUUGUGGUUGAUUUUAUUCACCACAUGGAAAACUACAUUAAAAGAAUGAUUUAUCUAUACAACAAACCUAGUAAAAGUGGAUCGCAUAUGCAGUUAUAAUUAUGCAUCUUUUGUUAACAUUAUUCAAUCACUAUUUAAUUGGCCAAUUAAAGUUUUAAGUCAUCUGGAACAAUGCAAUAACGUAAUUCUUAUGGGAAUUUGCAUAUUAUUAGCAUGCGAUAAGAGUUACAUUUUUUUGACGUGAACAGUUCCCUUAUUCUUCGCGUUUUAUGUUCUUUGCAUGUUAUUUGUGAGCGUAGUUAACUAAGCUUUCUUCGAAGAUAUCAAAUUCAGUUUCUCUCAAACGAAAAAUUUAAAUUUAUUUCAUAGUAAACCCUGCAUUACAAUGAACCAAUGACACAAAGUCGGCGUGGUCGCAACUUAGUCUCUUCAGUAAUUUAAGAAAAAAUUAUAUUUUUUCAGGUGAGUGAGGCCAAUCCAGCUCAAAACAAGUGAUUUUUCAAUAUUUACCAUCACGUGACCAACACCACUUGAUCUUUCUUCAUGUAUUACCUAAAAUUUUUGUUCUAAUAAUAAAAAAUUGCUGUGGUUAAAUAAGAAUUAAUUUUUAAAUAAAAAUAACGUUAUUAUUCGCAUUGAUGUGAGCUUGGCUUCACGCCACGUUAUAGUAUACACAUAGCUGUUAAUUCUUUUACUUGGCAAUACACAGUUAACUCCCGGUACCUCAAACCUGUAAAGCCUAGUUCUUACCAACGCGUUUAUUAUUAAACAGAUAUUUAUUACUAUUCUCAUGAAUGAGUUUAUUUUCAUCUAAUUAAUUAUGCAGUAAGAUGAUGCGUUCACACGAACUUAAUUUCGGAACAAAAGUUAAGAUUUGUGAGUAUCGAUAUGGACAGCGCGGAGAUUUUAGAAUUGGGUUAUCUUUUUUUAAGUAUAAUAAAAACUAAAUUUAAAAAAUAAAUUAAACAUUAAACCUUGUUCGUACUCUAGUUCUUCAUUUAUCGCCAAGUGUUCUCUUUCUGUCUUUUUUUAUAUUCAUUGUCAGCUUUAUCAUGGGGACAGGGGUAGAGUCUCACCAGCUCAGACAGUGCUUCCUCUGCUAAUAUUCCAUUUUAGAUUUCAUUACGUAUUAUUAUUUUCGUGUUUUGUCACUGUCGUUCUUUCAUUUUUUCACGCAAUGCUCUCAUGAUGGCCACUCUCACUUUGAGCAUUGGCGGUAAAAAGAGAAGAUUUCCUUGACGUAGAAUAAACUCAUGCUAAACGCAUGAUUUUUAUAUCGAAACCUUUUGGAUAUUAAAGCUUAGUUCCCACCAAUGCGCUUUUUGAUAAACAUAUUCCGCCCCCCUGACGUUUUUUUUUUCAAAACUUUCUAAUGCUAUGUUUCAUGGCUACAAUACUUACUGAGUUUCAAUAAUUAUCUAUCUAAGACACGUGCAUGCCAAAUUUUUAGGUCCCAUACCUCUCAGAGGCUUUAAUAUUGGCUAUUACACGAAACUACCCCUAAAAAUCUUUGUGAAAACAUUCUAGUAGUGAAAAUAUAAUAAAUCUUGUUAGGAUUAUCCUUAGAACUUGAAACUUAAAGCACAACUUUGUUUUACCAAGAAGAAUCAAUUUGCAAGUUUUAGACACGUGAUUAAUCCGAUUUCCCGAUUUUUGCGGAUAUUACCCCUAAAAAAAUCCCGGAUUAUCGGGCACUGUUUUGACACUUUUUCAUGCAAUCUAUGUAAAAACCGGAAAAUAUGUAAAAUAACACUUAUUUAGCUUUCAGAAACUACAAACAGAAUGUAAAUUCGCUCUAGAACAGAAGUAAUUUAAUUUUAAGCAGAUAAUAGCAUUUUAAACAAAUUUCAAGCUUUCGAUGACGUCACAGAAAAUGUGCUGACGCAAGCAAAAAUUUGCUGCCGUUAUUUUGUUCCUUUUUUUAUAUACUAUAAGUGUAUUAAGUUAAUUUCAAUUUGGACAAGACUGAAAGUUAUUAAGGGUGCGGGUAACCAAAUUUCUGAAAGUUGAUAGGGAACAAUUAUGAUGUCGAAAGGUAGCCUAGAAUAAACUCGCUUGUUCAUGAUAUGAUAAUAUCUAAAUUAUUUAAUGACAAUGACUUAACAGAAAAGUAGUAAUCUUCUUAAAGCGGAUUAGACCAAGAUAGGUGAGCAAUGUUUUUGAUACUGCGGUUAGCACCCACUAAAUUAAACACUGGAUAACUCGAACUUUCAUUAUCUAGAAAUGUUUUCUUGGGUCCAUUGAACUUUCGUCAAUGCUUUCCUAACUCAGAUUAACUUAAAUCUCGGAUAACUUAAACAUUCGUUAACUCGACUAAUUUUCCGUCCUCCCUGAGUUUAAUUUAUUCGGAUAACUCGAACUUUUUACUCGAGAAAAGGAAAUGAAAGACUAGCAACUGUCAGAUAUUAAUUCUUAUUAACUCCUGUAGAUAGAUCGUGUUGCCUAUCAAGAAAAAUUAACAAGGCACUUGCCAAGAACAUCAAAAUUCACCUUUUCCUAGUAACUGUUCUCCAACCACCUAAAAAAAAACGUUAACUCGAACUAUAAUCUCAUUUUAGACUAAAUUUGACUUACAGGAGCUUCGUUUAAUUCGAAUAUUCGUUACGUCGAACUUUUUUCCCCGGUCCCUUAACUAUUCAGUCCGGAGUUUUUCGAACAUAUUAUGACGUACUCUGUAUGGAAAGUUAUUAGGCAAAGGGGGAAUCCUUCCCAGUCCUAAUAUUUUUUGAUAGGGAAUACAGUUGCCUGUCAAGAAGACAAACACAACAAAAAGCGAAAUGUUCAUCAUCAUCAUUCUCGCCUUAACGUCCGUUUUCCAUGCUAGCAUGGGUUGGACGUUGUUCGACAUGAUAAUAUCUAUAUUUUUCAAUAAUCUGCUUUGCCUCUUUUGUUCAAGGCACACACGCUUGUAGAAUUAUUAAUAAAGGCGAUAAAAUGUUUUGAUAACAGAAAUUAAACAUCCUGUUCUCUUCGGCUAAUACAGAUUUUUGCCGGCUCGCGAUUUUUUUUGUCAUCCAAGUUAAUUAUGAUUAAUAACUUUAGUUUUAAAAUGUAGCGACAGGAAUGGCGACAUGGUUUUGGAAGUGGAGCAUAUUUAAUAUUUAAACUUCAGUGUCCAUAAUCUCACUUCGUAUCCAUGUAUCCCUUAAGACUUUUAUAAGCUGUCUCUUCAUAGAGUAAAAAAAAUGAAGAAAUAAGCAUCAAAUUUAGUCGGUUAUCUGAACUCUUAAAAAUUAUUGCUGAUGUCAGCAUGACAUCUUUUCAGAUUUUUGUAAGCCGUUACGUGGAUUAUUUCACAAUUCCGACAUGUUUGGAUGUGCGACUAACCAACGUAAAUAGAUUGACGAUUUUUCCAAAUUUGAAUAAUUGCUCAAAAAACUUCUGAUAUGACCAUAUUUUUUUCAAGAAUUGUUUAUUGUGGACUGUUUUUCUUUUUUCACAAGCAUACCUUGUACCUUUUGUAAUAAAAUGCAAUUACACAGCUGUCGUUGUAAAAAGCACACAAAAUAAUGAUCCUACGAAGGACGAAUUUCUGAGGACCGGUGGACCCGUGAAUUCUUCCACGGACUAACGUAUAAUCUCUAUCUCUGUUAUAACAAGACGUAUGAUAUACGUAAACAACCUCGCGAAUAAAGUUUACAAAAAGCUAUCUAUUAAAUUGUGAUUUCUGUUACAAAGUUAGACAUGACAUAUUUUGCUAUUCAGAUGGGCAAUAACAUUUCUUGUGGACUACGCAGUUAUUUUUCGAAAUUGAUUUGUGAGAUCUUCUUGAACGGAAAAUUCCUCGAAAUUUCAAUUUUCGUUGGGUCAGUCUGGGGUAAACUGACUGACAGAAAGAAGAAAGCGAGAACGAGAAAUUCUUUUCGCUACAAAAAGAAUUUCGUUCUCGUAAUUAUUUAUAUAUGGUGGAGCGUCUUCGUUUUUCUCUUACGUAUUGUUGUGAAAAUUUUAUUUUUCGCAGACUACUUUCCAGGCAUUUGGGGGGAGACCUUAAUUCUGCCUAUAUUCACUUUUGAAAACUUUGGUGGAAACACCUUUACUUUACCAGUUAGUUAAAUAAAGCUUGUGAACACUAAUCUUAUCUUUUUAAAAAAUAAACAAUAUGCAGGCGCUGCAUAAACUAUCUCGCUAUUGAAAAUGCACAACUAUGAAACAUCCACAAUGCACCCAAUUUUACAAUUUCUGCUAACAAAAAAUACAGCCUAUCAUUCAUGGUUGAAAGUCGCGCGAUUGAAACGUUUAUGAGCUUAAACUCCAUUUAGGUGACAAAGAAUCAAAAUUUUGAUGUCACUAUCAUAUUCAACAUACUUUUUUUGUUAACUGUGCCAAAUUUUGUCGAAAGUAGAGUUUUUUAAUUUUCGAACAAAUUUUGGCCUAAAAUGACAUUUAGGUGACAAAAAAUCAAAAUUUUAAUGUCACCAUGUUCAGCAUACUUUUUUUGUUAACUUUGCCAAGUUUUGUCUGAAAUAGUUUUAAUUUUUGGACCAAUUUGGCCUAAAAUGACGUUAAGUGACAAAAAUCAACAUUAUGGUGUCACUAUUAUGUUCAGCAUACUUUUUUUGUUAACUGUGCCAAGUUUUGUCGAAAACAAAUACCAAAUUUGGCCUGAAACGUCAUUUAGAUGACUUCCAAGUACUUAGAGAGUUUAGGUACGAAAUUUAAAUCUGUGACGUUGCAAUUGAUUAUUUCGGACAUGGUUAGUUACGAGUUAGUAAAAAGAAAAAAAAAGAAAAAAUAGUUACCAAGAUGAGAUUCGAACACACGACUACUCCCGUGCCGGUGCUCAGAGAGGCAAAAAUUUCCAUUCUUGUAGGACACAUUUGCGUUUUAAUACAAGCUCACGAGCUUGUAAUAACCCUCGUCUGUCUUUUCGUACAUAUUGAAAGUAAAAAUAAGUAAUAACGUGAUUUAUGUUGGGCGAUAUGGUUUUUGAUUUCCCUUGAAAAAGCUUUUCCGCGGGCGAACAAAAUUUGGGAUGAGGCUGAAUGUACAGUUUCCGUAAAAUGAAAUUCACGUGUUUUCUCCGUUACCCUAGUUAGUGUGUUAGAAUAGUUAGUGUACCUUACUUCUGCUUUAAUCGCCUUUGUCGUUGAACGAAACUAAUGUCUUUUAGAACAAGGACUGGGAGAUAACUUCAGGCUAGCUGUUACCUACAAGUUGCUUUGUUUUUAAAACUUUAAACCCAGCAUUGCUUUUAAGAUGUUACUCAUAUAAAAAGUGUGUAGGAAAGGCUGAGACGCAACGGAUGUUAUAAUAUCUAGAACAUUCUCAGCGGCCAUUACUGGCGAGUUUUGAAUAGAUAAAAAAAACUUUGGGCCGAGGAAAAUUUUUUCCCACGAAGUUUAAGUAGGAGUCAUGCCUUAAAAAAGCAUUGCGCGUUGUUCGUUUAACUUAUCAAACGCAGCUGGGAAAAGACAACAAAAUAAUGAUUGAGAAUGCUAUAAAUUAAUUGUAAUAAAUUAAAAAGCCAAUUAUUUACACGUUAAAACAACAACAAAUUCAUAAACCUAUAAAAGAUCAGGAAACAAAAUGUUCUUCAUCGCGGUGACUAAAAAAUAACAACAAUCAUUUUAACACAUAUGCAGGAGUGUACCUAAUAAGUAUAAUACACAUCAUUGAAUCAAGCGGUACAGAUUGGUUAUAAAAAUCGACUGUUAAAAUCAAAACGGUUUCAUGAUUUUGAUGUAACAUCAAUCCCUAAGGUUUUUCACAACACUCCAGCAGUCAAACUAUACACAAGUUAAUGAAAAUUAAACUCUGUACAUAAAUUUAAACUUUAUUACACAAGUACAAUUUUAUACCAUGAUGAGGUAGACAGUCUCAGACAUGCAAAAAACAUGGUGACCACAGAAAAUUUAUAUUUAAAUUCCAGGACAUUCCAGGACAAAAAUGUUUGAUAUUCCAGGACAAUUCCGGGAGAAAUUGCUAACCUUAAAAAUCACAAGCCUAAUAAAACCUUGACGCAAUGCAAGUAUUUGUGGACCGCUGGAAGCCAAAUAUGUUGCAGGAUUUUACAAAACUAGUUGUUAAUUAAACCUUUUGUCCUUGUCACCCGUACAGCGGUUCUUUGGGUCCUUGAUAUGCAGGCCUUAAGGUUGCCCAAAUAUUUUCGCAGAAGGUAAUGCAUUUUCCCAUUUGGAAAAUAUAAUUGAUUUAUGCUAGAAUUCAAUGAAAAUAGUUAGCCUUGAUCAGAGAAGUAGCGAUGAAAACAAGUGAUUGGGAGUAACAAUACAAAAAGGAGGAUAAAGGAAAGUGAGUGAGAGUGUACUGAACCCUUUUUAACGGUUACCUUGAAGUAGCAACAUCAAAACUUAUCAUUUUCCAUUCUGGUAAUAUAGCCAAUUUAUUGUUGAGGUUACAGUAAGUGAAGUGUCUAUCUGGACUAACUUUACCUCACCACGUUCUACGAUAUUUCUCCAUGAGAUGAAAAGUUUUUACACACUUUCGCUGUAAAGCUCAAUAUGUUAAUCCUCAUCUGGAGGGUUAGUUUUCACCGACUGAUAGCCUUGUGGUAGAGCGUUCGCUUUCAGUGCGGGAGGUCUUGGGUUCAAACCCUGGCCGAGUCAUGCCAGAGACUAUAAAAGUGUGAAUCUAUCCUUUCUGCUUAGCGUUCAGCAUGAGAAUAGGAUUGAUAUCUUAGGCGGUUGUCUAGUUGAGCGAUUGUUGUGCUUCCACGACUUUCGUAGCUCAAAUGGGAGCUUUAAAUGCGCUAGGACCCCCUUCGCAGGACCCUCGUUGAUAGCAGUACCAAUAGGAACUGAAGAGGCUAUCCUGGGUAAAUAAUAGUAAUAAUAAUAAUAAUAAUGUCUUAAAUUUUGAGGAAUUAGCACUUUAUUCAUAUCUUUGAAAGAAAAUUCACUGAAAAAUAUACCUUAAGGUCAUCCAGUAAAUUAGGUAUAGAGCAAAGUACACCUUUCUGUCUUUUUGGUCUGUAAACAAAGUUUUGACCACGUGGGAAAGUAUUUUCAACCAUUUUGAUGGGUUUAGCACAAAUAUUAUACAAAUAAAUUGGUUAAACACAAUGCAACUUUAUUUUCAGGUACAUGCACAUAAAAAAUUGAUUUCUCGGACCUUUCCUAAUCUUAACAAAAUUUGAACGCUAUUAUGUUAAUUUUGUAAAAUUUUGAAACUAAAAGAAAAACUUGGAUUCAAUCCAAAAAUAAAUUUUUCUUCUCCAUAGGCGAAGCUAAAAAAGAAAGUUCUAGAAGUUCCUUAAGAGACAUCGGUCUCUAAACACUUAGAAUUUUACUAACAUCGCAUUCAUUGAUUAUGGAAAACGUAUAAAAAUUAAUUAAAAAUUAUGCUUAAUGAUGUAAAAUAAAGAAGUUUAGGGGCUGAUCACAUGAGGCGAGCCGGUUCGGUUAGAUAGAUGUGCAUAUUUUACAUGGCUAGCCUCACAAAUAUCAAGGGGUAUACCCUGUCUAUUAUUUCCAGGAGGGGCCAUGGCUUAGAUGGAGAGUCCUAGAGUAUUUAAUGCUCAUUUUGAGCUACGCAGACCCAAUUAGUAGGGCCCACGCUCUACUAGACAACUCCCGGCAACAUCCAACGGCCCACACAGUGUGCCAUCUCCCCAAUUUCCCUCACAUGGCUUGGGUUAACCCGGGGCUAUGGUAACAUUCACUCGCCCAUGUUGAAUCGCCGUCAAGAGGAAUCGAACCCCGGU